rnacentral:rRNA from 1 species
CCAGACUCCUACGGGAGGCAGCAGUGGGGAAUCUUAGACAAUGGGGGAAACCCUGAUCUAGCCAUGCCGCGUGAGUGAUGAAGGCCUUAGGGUCGUAAAGCUCUUUCGCCAGGGAUGAUAAUGACAGUACCUGGUAAAGAAGCCCCGGCUAACUCCGUGCCAGCAGCCGCGGUAAUACGGAGGGGGCUAGCGUUGUUCGGAAUUACUGGGCGUAAAGCGCGCGUAGGGGGCUGGAAAGUUGGGGGUGAAAUCCCGGGGCUCAACCCCGAACUGCCUCCAAAACUAUCAGUCUAGAGGUCGAGAGAGGUGAGUGGAAUACCGAGUGUAGAGGUGAAAUUCGUAGAUAUUCGGUGGAACACCAGUGGCGAAGGGGCUCACUGGCUCGAUACUGACGCUGAGGUGCGAAAGGUGGGGAGCAAACAGGAUUAGAUACCCUGGUAGUCCACGCCGUAAACGAUGAAUGCUAGACGUCAGGGGGCUUGCCUUUGGUGUCGCAGCUAACGCAAUAAGCAUUCC